rnacentral:rRNA from 1 species
GACGAACGCUGGCGGCGUGCUUAACACAUGCAAGUCGAACGGAAAGGCCCUGCUUGCAGGGUACUCGAGUGGCGAACGGGUGAGUAACACGUGGGUGAUCUGCCCUGCACUUCGGGAUAAGCCUGGGAAACUGGGUCUAAUACCGGAUAGGAGCCAUUUUUAGUGUGAUGGUUGGAGAGUUUUUUCGGUGUAGGACGAGCUGGCGGCCUAUCAGCUUGUUGGUGGGGUAAUGGCCUACCAAGGCGGCGACGGGUAGCCGGCCUGAGAGGGUGGACGGCCACACUGGGACUGAGAGACGGCCCAGACUCCUACGGUAGGCAGCAGUGGGGAAGAUUGCACAAGGGGCGCAAGCCGGAUGCAGCGAGGCCGCGUGGGGGAUGACGGCCUUCGGGUUGUAAAAUCCUUUCGCUAGGGACGAAGCUUUUUGUGACGGUACCUAGAUAAGAAGCACCGGCUAACUACGUG